GAUGAAGAACGUAGUGAAAUGCGAUACUUGGUGUGAAUUGCAGAAUCCCGUGAACCAUCGAGUCUUUGAACGCAAGUUGCGCCCGAAGCCAUCAGGUUGAGGGCACGUCUGCCUGGGCGUCACAUAUCGUUGCUCGAUGCCUAUCGCAUUGCGAUAGGACUUAGGGCGAAUGAUGGCUUCCCGUGAGCAUUGUUGCCUCAUGGUUGGUUGAAAAUUGAGUCCUUGGUAGGGAGCGCCGUGAUAGAUGGUGGUUGAGUGACGAACGAGACCCAAUCAUGUGAGACCCCUACCGAAUUUGGCCUUCAUGACCCACAUGCGUCUUUGGAACGCUCAUGACGAGACCUCAGGUCAGGCGGGGCUACCCGCUGAGUUUAAGCAUAUCAAUAAGCGGAGGA
rnacentral:misc_RNA from 1 species